AACGAACGCUGGCGGCAGGCUUAACACAUGCAAGUCGAACGCCCCGCAAGGGGAGUGGCAGACGGGUGAGUAACACGUGGGAACCUUCCUCGAUGUACGGAUCAACUCAGGGAAACUUGAGCUAAUACCGUAUACGUCCGAGAGGAGAAAGAUUUAUCGCAUUGAGACGGGCCCGCGUCGGAUUAGCUAGUUGGUAAGGUAACGGCUUACCAAGGCAACGAGCCGUAGCUGAUCUGAGAGGAUGAUCAGCCACACUGGGACUGAGACACGGCCCAGACUCCUACGGGAGGCAGCAGUGGGGAAUCUUGGACAAUGGGCGCAAGCCUGAUCCAGCCAUGCCGCGUGAGUGAAGAAGGCCUUCGGGUUGUAGAGCUCUUUUGUCAGGGACGAUAAUGACGGUACCUGAAGAAUAAGCCCCGGCAAACUUCGUGCCAGCAGCCGCAGUAA
rnacentral:rRNA from 1 species